rnacentral:lncRNA from 1 species
UGUCCCUGUGCCAGGGUGAGGGCAGUCACCGAAGCAGAUGCUGGGCCACUGAGAAGAGCGAUUGAUUUCAGAAGCUCAAAUUCCGCUGUGUUGGCCACCACUGGCUGCCAACGCAGCUCGAGUUGGGAGAGUUGUCGCCAGUCUCUGGCUGUAAGCAGGAGGUUUGUUAGGAAUCAGCAUUGUCUACUUAUGAAGAUUUAUGGAGAAGCUGACAAACAUUAAGCUUUGAAGCCGAAGUCAGUUUAUCGUCUACGGAAGCAUCUAGCACUCUGUGCGAUUGGUGAAUGACUGGCCCCCACACACCUGCCACCCAGUAAAACGGCCAGGAGUGGUGCUUGCUGCUGGCCAGUGAAACAAGCACCUUUGAGGGCUUGACCUCCAGGCACAGCAUGUCCAGC